rnacentral:tRNA from 1 species
AGAAAUAAUGAAUUGAAGCUGCUAACUUUGAUUAGGGAUUCUAGUAUUCCUAUUUCUU